GACUCCCAUCUCCCAUUAUUGUGGUCCCUGAGUACCAUCUGGAACCUGCCCUAUUCGGCAGUCUUGCUUACUUGUGAAGACUGCAACCCAGCUUUUAGCUGGAAAUGCCAAAGGGUGCAUGGGAACAGUCAGAAGACACCAUUUGAUAUUCAAUGACUUCAGGAAAAAUCACUAAGCUGCCUUUCUGUGCUUUCCAGUCUGGUGUCAAUCAGCCCUGGUAAGCCAUUAUCUGAGGAACUUCUCUAUGUCCACCACAACCCUUGGGUCACCAAGGAUGUAUCCAGGCUCAGAUAGGAUGUCUGUUGUCGCAACCCACCGGUUGAGAACCUGUGAGAUAGUACAUGAUUUUUUUUCUCAUGGCCGUGACCACAUACCUGGCAAGAAGCAAAUGUGAGUGAUGAGAGAGCAGGCCUGGAUUGCCAGCCGAGAAGUAAUGAGUCACAAACAAGAGAGAGCAGCACAAAUAUGCAUAAACACCUGCCACAACAGAACCAACCUGAGGCAGUCGCUGUCCCUGUAUUCAUGAAUAAUGUGUGUGCAGGAAUUCACCAGCUGCCUGAGUCCCUAACACCCACGUCCCUGGCUUUCCUACUGUGUAGAAGUUCUGUUGCUGCCCGCCUCCCUCUGGAGACGCACAGAUAAAACUCACAGAGCUGAAAUGAUACUAUCAAAAGCAUGCUGCACGAGAUAAACAAGACUAGUGUACCUAUGUGAAUUCAUAAUCGCUUUUCAUUUCCCAUGAUUUAAAUCCAUCAAAUGGGAAAGACUGGCUAUUAUGUCAGAAAUAUAAGAGACUAUAGGCUGUCUGUUCUAAGCGUUGUACAUCUUCAUGGAUGAGAAAGCUGGGCUCCAAGAGUUUUUUAUUCUCUCCUCUCCUCCCUUGGCUUGAGACUGCAAUAAAAGGCAUGGUUACCUGCAGUAAAUACCAGACUGGCUUUGUGCUCAAUGAGGGAGCCAGGAGAAGAUGUGGUGGGAGCCAAAAUUGUGAAAGAGCAUCUGAGAGAAGAGAUGGCCACUGUCUUGCCUCCCCUCUGUGGAAACUGAAGGCGAUAGACAAAAGGGAAGGAAGAUGCACCGGUCCAGGUUGGCUGUGCUUCGGAGCUGAGUACUGAGGAUUGGGACUUCAGAGUCAGACGAUUAAUACUGCAAGAAGCCGUCCAACUGGUCACCAGAGAGGCUGUGAUAUUUUGUGUUCCCACCAGCAGGGCGUGAGUCUCAGGUGUGCCAUGCCCUUAUCGGGAUAUGACUGUGUCCAUCCAGAAAAUGCUGAAGCCAGGUGUGGUGCACACCUUUAAUCCCAGCAGUCACAGGGCAGAGGAUUUCUGUGAGUUUGAAGCCAGACUGACCUACAUAGUGAUUUCCAGGACAGCCAAGGCUACAUAGGGAGACCCUGUUUCAAACAAGCAAACAAACAAAAAUAAACAAAUGAACGGAAAAUACUGAGCUACCGUAGCAAGGGAGUAGAGACAGUUUAUUGUGUUUAAUGAUGAAUUCCCUUUAAUUAAUAGUGACAGUGGAUGUCUCACCAUGUGAC
rnacentral:lncRNA from 1 species